UUUGAGUGCUGCCAUAUGCAAACACAACAAAAGGGUUAGCGACGGUGGUAGCCAGCCAAAGAGCAUAUGAAAAAUAGCAGUGACGAGGCAAAGGUUUCCACUUUGGUCCAUACUUUCUCUUGGUCCAAUUGUUGUUGCUACAAAGGGACAAAAGGCAAAACAGUCCACUCACAAGCGAAAGCGAAGACGAUGCAAAAAUUGCAAGUCAUUUGGACAUGAUAGACGAAAAUGUACUAAAGUGUGCACAGAUGCAUAUGAAACUCACAAUUAUGAUCAUGUUGGGGCACCCAAUAAUGUUGAGAAUGUAAAUUUGAAUCUGAUAGGAUCAUCCGAUGGCCUAUUGCAAUCAGAUUCACAGCAUGGAUGCAAUAAGGAAUUAAUGGAUAGUAAUUGGUUUCAGAUCAUUCCUCCUGGUCAGGCAUUAAUGUGGGCAUGCAAUCCUUCAUUAAUCCAAAGUCAUGUACAAAACACUAGCUUGUUAGGAGAUGAAAAGUAUUCAGUGAAUGAACCAGAUUUCAGCCAAGACCAUUAAGGAAUUUUAUUCUUGAGAGAGUACAAAUGUUUUUGCACGUCUUUGCUCAAAGCUUUUAGGAUGAUUUAAGUUUCUUCGAAGCUUGCUUGGAAAAAAGUUUGGUGAUCAAAUUUCAGAUAUUGUUAGCAUCCAAGUGCUCUUGGGUUUGUAAACCAGAAAUGUCAAUCCAAACUGAAGCUUUUGAUAGUGAUAUCAGAGCCCUUGAUGCUGGUGAUCAAAUUCUCAAAUCAAGUUACUAGCCUUUUGAUUGCUUCAGAUUUCUGAAGCCAAAGUCUUUGUGCUCUAAAUUCAGUUCUUGGCCAUGUAAUCUUGUCAUGCUUAGAUAGCUAUAUCUAGUGUCCUGCCAGCUUAAUUUUGAUGCGUAAGUAUCAAUUAUUAAAAGUUAGAUUCAUUCUGAUGCUCAAAAUGAGCCGUUUUCUCCUAUUUUGAAAUACCAAUUUCAUAUCAAAUGUCUUGUGCAUGUAGAUUUUGCUGUUUACUUCAAAUUGGACUGGCUUACUUGAUGAGCAGAACUCGAAAAGCAACUCAAAUACUCAUGUUAUACAAUACUCAGCACACGGUUUUUUAGGCUUUAAAACGUCAUUAAUGAAAGUUACCCAUUCGGUUGUUUA